rnacentral:tRNA from 1 species
UCCGCGGUAGCUCAGCGGUAGAGCAGUUGACUGUUAAUCAAUUGGUCGCAGGUUCGAAUCCUGCCCGCGGAGCCU